rnacentral:rRNA from 1 species
ACUCCAACCCCUGGACAUACCACUUGUUGCCUCGGCGGAUCAGCCCGCUCCCGGUAAAACGGGACGGCCCGCCAGAGGACCCCUAAACUCUGUUUCUAUAUGUAACUUCUGAGUAAAACCAUAAAUAAAUCAAAACUUUCAACAACGGAUCUCUUGGUUCUGGCAUCGAUGAAGAACGCAGCAAAAUGCGAUAAGUAAUGUGAAUUGCAGAAUUCAGUGAAUCAUCGAAUCUUUGAACGCACAUUGCGCCCGCCAGUAUUCUGGCGGGCAUGCCUGUUCGAGCGUCAUUUCAACCCUCAAGCACAGCUUGGUGUUGGGACUCGCGUUAAUUCGCGUUCCCCAAAUUGAUUGGCGGUCACGUCGAGCUUCCAUAGCGUAGUAGUAAAACCCUCGUUACUGGUAAUCGUCGCGGCCACGCCGUUAAACCCCAACUUCUGAAUGUUGACCUCGGAUCAGGUAGGAAUACCCGCUGAACUUAAGCAUAUCAAUAAGCGGAGGA